UUAGGAUCACAACAAAUUGUAAUAUAAUAAUUCUGUUUCAAGAAAAUAUAAUCCGAGAAAAUGUGGCACGUGAAAUUAUUUUGAUAUUUCUAAGAACAAAAAUUUUAUAUCAAAUUUUACAUACAUACUUCCAUGUAGAAUAUUUGUCGUAUCAAAAUCAAGCAAGAUAUUUUAGUAUAAAGUUCGAGUAUAAAGUUCAUCCUGUAAUUAAAAGUAUUGAAAGUAUUGAAAGAAAUAUUGUACAGAAAAUAUAUUUUUAACCAGUGUACACGGAUGUUACAAGAACAUAGAUUUUUAAUUUUAACAUCUUAACACCAUUUACUUUUAAAACCAAUCUGAAAAUCUUUGAUAAAAUAAUCGGAAAAUUAUAUAUAAAAUUUACAUAAUUUGGAUCAUUAAAGUUAAAAUUUAAAGAUUUACUUUAAAUUAGUUUUAAAUUGAAAAUACAAUACAGUCAACUUACUACUUACAAUUAACAUA